UACAGAGGGUGCAAGCGUUAAUCGGAAUUACUGGGCGUAAAGCGCACGCAGGCGGUUGGUUAAGUCAGAUGUGAAAGCCCCGGGCUCAACCUGGGAAUUGCAUUUGAAACUGGGAAACUAGAGUGUGUGAGAGGGGGGUAGAAUUCCAAGUGUAGCGGUGAAAUGCGUAGAGAUUUGGAGGAAUACCAGUGGCGAAGGCGGCCCCCUGGCACGAUACUGACGCUCAGGUGCGAAAGCGUGGGGAGCAAACAGG
rnacentral:rRNA from 1 species